GUGGGGAAUUUUGGACAAUGGGCGCAAGCCUGAUCCAGCAAUGCCGCGUGCAGGAAGAAGGCCUUCGGGUUGUAAACUGCUUUUGUACGGAACGAAACGGUCCUGGUUAAUACCUGGGGCUAAUGACGGUACCGUAAGAAUAAGCACCGGCUAACUACGUGCCAGCAGCCGCGGUAAUACGUAGGGUGCGAGCGUUAAUCGGAAUUACUGGGCGUAAAGCGUGCGCAGGCGGUGCUGUAAGACAGGCGUGAAAUCCCCGGGCUCAACCUGGGAAUUGCGCUUGUGACUGCAGUGCUGGAGUACGGCAGAGGGGGAUGGAAGUCCGCGUGUAGCAGUGAAAUGCGUAGAUAUGCGGAGGAACACCGAUGGCGAAGGCAGUCCCCUGGGCCUGUACUGACGCUCAUGCACGAAAGCGUGGGGAGCAAACAGGAUUAGAUACCCGGGUAGUCC
rnacentral:rRNA from 1 species